CAGCCAUGGGAGCCCCCGGGCAGUGGGGGUCACCUGUGUCCCCAGGGCUGCGUGGGGACCAGAAAAGGGGGCUGCCCUGCAAGGGGGUGGCAGGGCAGCGCUGGAGGAGCCAGGAGGGGACACGAGAGCUGGGAGCUGGUGCCAAGCCUUGGAGCCAAGGGGACAGAGCCAGGUAUGGGGGCUCAGGGAGGGCUCCUGCACUGAGGCUGGAGAGGAGGUGGCACUGGAAGCCCAGGAGGAGAUGGGCACCCUGAGGGCAGAGCCGGGCUGUGGCGUGACUGGGGAUGUGGCUGAUGGUGUCCCUGGCACAGGACUGGCCUGGCACUGCUGGGACACCCCUGGGACAGCCACCACCGGUGCCACACGGACCUGCAGAGCACGCCUUGGCAGGGGCAGGGAGCCUGUGUGGGCCAGGAGCGGCUGGACAAGGAGAGGAGGAGAACAGGGUCUUCACUCGAAGAGAAGCUGCAGCUGCUGGAGAGGCUGCGGGUGCUGCGGCGGCUGCGGGAGCUGCUGCACAGGGACACGGCCGAGACCCUGCGGCGGCUGCGGGAGGCGCCGGGGCAGGUCAGGGG